rnacentral:lncRNA from 1 species
AACAAGAGUGAAAAGACUGCUUCUUUAACAUUUUCACAGGUACUUCUCUCUUUAAAACCACCACCUUUAAUAGUUCAGGUUGUUACAGAACCGACAAAAAGUCCCCAAUGUGUCGACAACAUUCAUUUUUUGACUGUUAGGAAAUUCGUACCCCAACACCGAAAAACACAUCAAGCACAACACAAAUAUAAAGUGCAAGAAAAUAAGAACACAAGAAUGGUCACCCAGUUCGGCCUUGAAGGCUUAAUCUGGGGGGCUCAGGUCAGCCGAAUCCACUAGUGCAAUUCUGCCUCACAGAGAGAGUGUACAGUACAUAGAACCAAGAUAGAAAACCAAAUCAAUCAUCGACCCUAAAAUCGGAUCUCAAAUCUGGACAUAAACUCACAGCUUCCUCCCUAACCGGCUACAACUACAAAAACAAGACAGAUCACGCAUACAAGACCGUCCUCUAUUUACUAUAGUAUUUACAUUUAACCAGAAUCAUCCAAAUGGAGAAACAAUCUCCAGAUUCAAAGAGCCAAGAAAGGGAGAAGAAGAGUCGACCAACAGAGAGAGAGAAAAGGAGAUAUUAUCAAAACCGUAUGAAAUAAUAAUACCACCCUUCCAGCCGGUUAUCAAAACUAAGGGCCAACUCUAGUUUAAUCUCCACCAUUCAUUUAAUCCAAUGGUCCACAUCCAACCAGAAGAAACACAGAUCCGGGUCAUAUCAAAUACACGAAUCAGGAGCUGCCACGUGAUAUCUACCAACUUAAAAUACAGCAAAUGUCCAGAUUGCCCUCUCAUUAGUUGCUAAUUUGGAGAACCACGUUUUUUUUCUCCUUCAAUCUUUACCUUGGUUCUCAAAAUUGCACUCACUCUCUCAGUUGCUAAAUUGCACUAUUGUGGAAAGGCUGAACAACAUCAUUGCCUUAGGUACCUGCAAAGAAAAAUUACCCAGUAUCAAUGUUGAGAAGUGACAAACACAUUCUAAACUUACUCACAGGCAGAAUUUUUGUGCCCAUAUCAGAUGGGUUAAUGUCAGUAUGAAUUUUCUCUAACAUCAUUUCACCUAAAGAUAGUUUCUCUCUUAUGAAAUGAUACUUCACCUCAAUGUGCUUGGACCUUUCAUGAUAGACAGGGUUCUUGCUUAACAAUAAUGCACUCUGACUAUCAGUAAGAAUAACAGGUGAUGAAAAAAGAAAAUUCAGUUCACUUAAAAUUCCUUUCAGCCAUAUACAUUCUUUAACACAUUCAGUAAUUGCCACAUAUUCAGCUUCAGUACUAGAUAAAGUGACAAUUGGUUGACGUUGAGACUUCCAUGUGAUACAAUUAUCACCAAGUGUAAAGAAAAAAGCUGUGGUAGAUUUUCUUUGAUCUUUAUCUCCAGCAAAAUCAGAAUCCACGUACCCUUUAAGGGUUAAUGGUUCUGAUCCCUUUUUGUACACUAAUCCUACACUUAGUGUCCCAGCUAUAUACCGUAAUAGCCAUUUUAAGCCAGCCCAAUGUGGUUUCCCCGGGUUUGCCAUAAACCUACUUAAAAAACUGAUUGAAUAUGCUAGAUCAGGUCGUGUUGUUAUCAUAGAAAACAUUACUGAUCCUAUUGCAUUGGAGUAAGGGAUAUUUUCCAUGUCUUUGGCCUCAGAUUCAGUUUUAGGACAUUGGGCUGAGGAGAGAUUCAUGUGAGCAGCAAGUGGAACAUUAACAGACUUAGCUUCUUUCAUGCCAAACUUAGAUAAAACUUUAUGUAGGUAAGACUCUUGGGUUAUUAUUAACCUGCCUUCUUGUCUAUUCCUAGUUAUCACCAUUCCCAGUAUUUUCUUGGCAUUCCCUAAGUCUUUCAUGUCAAAUUCAGAUUUUAGGAGGUUCUUCAUUCUUUUUAUUUCAGCUUUGCUUGAACUGGCCAGCAGCAUAUCAUCUACAUACAAGAGUAGAUAUAUCUCGCUGCCAGGUUUGGAGUUAUAGUAAUAUAAGCAGUGAUCAUACUCACUUCUCCUAAAACCAAUUUUCACAACAUAUGUGUCAAACCGAACAUACCACUGUCUUGGACUUUGUUUGAGUCCAUAUAGUGAUUUCUGCAAUUUACAAACAUAAUUAGAUUUCUCCUUUUUCUCAAAACCUUGAGGUUUCUCCUUUUCCUCAAAACCUUGAGGUUGACACAUAUAGAUGUCCUCAUCCAAUUCCCCAUGCAAGAAGGCUGUUUUGACAUCUAAUUGUUCAAGUUCCCAAUUAAACUGAACAAUUAGAGCAAGUAUUAGCCUUAUUGUCUUAUAUUUGAUUAUAGGUGAAAAAAUUUCAUUGUAAUCAAUUCCCUCCCUUUGAGUGAACCCUUUGGCCACUAAUAUUGCCUUAUACCUUAAAGGGUCUGUUGGGGAAUUGCCUUCUUUAAGUUUAUAAAUCCACUUGCAUUGAACCACUCUCUGAUUUUUAGGUUUCUUCACAAGUUUCCAUGUUUUAUUAUCAAUCAGGGAUUUCAUUUCUUCCCUCAUGGCAUCUUUCCAAUUCUGAGAUUUAGAACAACUUAUAGCUUCAUCAUAAGUAUAAGGUUCAGCAUGUUCUAAGUUCUCACCAGUGAUAAGGGCAAAGUCUGUCAGAUUAUUAGUCUCAUAUCUUGGAUUGGGUUUAAUCUGGCUCCUUUCCCUAUCUCUCACUAAUUGAUAAUCUUGGGUACUAGUUUCAUUUUCAGGUGUCACAAUUUCAGUUUCAAUUUGGGCUGUUAUAACUUCACCUUCAUUUGUGUUGUCUGAUCUUACAUUUGGCUGUUCAUUUUCAGGUUCAGUUAUCUCAAUAGAAUUGUGACCCAAUCUUGCCAACUUCACCUCAUUCUGUGAAGUGCUAUUUUCAAUUGCCUCAUGUUUAUCCCUUUUACUCUCAUGGCAUCUCAGAUUCAUUAAACACCACAUUUCUACAGCUAAUGAUUUUAAUGUCUUUCUCACCUAGUACCCAUAACUUGUACCCUUUAACUCCUUCAGGGUACCCUAACAUGACACAUUUGGUGGCUCUAGGAUCUAACUUGCCUUCAACUUGAUGUGCAUAUGCAGCACAUCCAAAGACCCUAAUAUUAGACAGAUUUGGUGUUUUUUCAGUCCACAAUUCCUGAGGGGUCUUGAACUUUACAGAACUGCAUGGUGACCUAUUAAUUAGAUAGGCUGCAGUGCAUAAAGCUUCUGCCCAAAAACCUUUUGCUAGACUAGAACUUAUUAGCAUGCAUCUAACUUUAUUCAUUAGAGUUCUGUUCAUUCUUUCAGCUACCCCAUUUUGUUGGGGAGUAUGCUUAACAAUUCUAUGCCUAAUAAUUCCCUUUUGCCUGCAAAAGUUAUCAAAUUCUGCAUUACAGAAUUCCAACCCAUUAUCUGUCCUUAAGGUUUUUAAUUUUCUGCCCAAUUGAUUUUCAACCAUCGUUAACCAAAUUCUGAAAUUUUGAAAUGUUUCAGAUUUUGUCUUUAAAGGGUAUGUCCAGACCUUUCUAGAAUAAUCAUCAAUUAUAGAAAGAAAAUAUUUAUUCCCACCAAAAGUUGAGUGGCUUUCUGGACCCCACAAAUCUGAGUGGACAUAAUCUAAAGGUCUAUCUGUAGUCUGUGACCCCGUCUCAAAACUGACUCUAUGAGAUUUUCCAAGUACACACGUCUCACAAAAGUCAAGGGGCUCUAUAUUAUCUUUUCCAAGCAAUUUUUGAUCAUUUAGAUAUUUUAGCCCCUUAUUUCCAAUAUGUCCCAUUCUACAAUGCCACAAUUCAGAUUUACUUUCAGUAAUGGUUAAGGAUUUUGGAUAAUGGGAAUUAACAGUCUUACCCAUUAAGUAGUACAAACCAUUCCUCUUUGGUCCCUUCAUAACUACAAGAGAUCCUUUGAGAAUUUUCAAAGUAUUAUUUUCAGAUUUAAAAGUGUGUCCCUCAUCUUCAAGAAUUCCUAGUGAAAUGAGAUUUCUUUUUAGAUUUGGGACAUGUCUUACAUUUUUAAUCUGUCUGACACUACCGUCAUACAUUUUGAUUGUAAUGUCACCGAUUCCAAGAACAUUUUGUGAAUUAUUAUCACCCAUAUAUACUUUCCUGGGUUCUAUCUCCUUGUAGUUAUGAAACCAAGUUUUAUUUGGGCACAUAUGAAAUGUACAUCCAGAGUCAAGUAUCCAGUCAGUGUCUGUUUCAUCGUUAGACACAGUCAUAACAAGAAGGCUGUCAAGUUCUGAACUUACAGCAGCAUUAUUCAACUCAAUGUUAUUAGGUUCUUUUAACUUCUUCUUUAAUUUGAAGCAGUCCCUUUUGAAGUGUCCAAGUUUUCCACAGUGAUAGCAUUUGUUAUUGCUUUUAUCCCUUGACUUGGACCUACCUCUUGAUUUAGAUUUGAACCUCUUAUUCAACGAAUGGUUCUCUCUUUUAUCAGUUCUCCCUCUAACAAACAGGUUCUCUUCUCUAGGGUUAAUUCUUGUUUCCUUUUUAACCUCCAACUCCCUAGAUCUUAGGGCAUUUGUCACAAUUGUUUGUGUUAAGACAUCUCUUGAAUAUUUUAUUGCAUUUCGGAUAUCUUUAUAAGAUUCGGGUAGUGAAUUUAGAAGGAUCACAGCCAGAUCUUCAUCCUCAAAUUUCUUAUCGUUAUGUGAAAGACUCUUUACAAGAAUGCUAAAGUCACUGAGAUUAGAUUCUAAGUCUUUUCCAGGAUCCAUUUUGAAGCUAAACAAUUUUUCCAACAGGUAGAUCUUAUUAUACAGUGUUUUAGUUAAGAACAAAGUAUCUAGGGCUUUCCACAAGGCUCGAGCAGUUUUAUGUUCUUCAACUUGUCUCACUAUGUUAUCAGACAAAUGCAGUAUAAUUGAACUAUAUGCUAUUUGAUUCAUAUCUUCAAUUUCAGUAGGCUUAGCUUUCAAUUCAUCAGGAAACUUUUCAGGAUCAUCAAGGGCUUUUGCAACCCUUUGUUGGACCAAAAUGGCCCUCAUUUUCUGUUUCCAUAUAUAGUAAUCACCCUUUCCAUCGAAUUGACUUAAUUCGACCUUCGAACCCAUUGCGGGUUUUGUAAAAGGAUUGUUACUCAAGGACAUAAGUGAUUUAAUUCAAGAAAUCACUUAAGCUACAGAAAAAGUUUUUGAAAUUUUUUUUUGCAGAUAAUUGACAAGUAAGCUGACCCGAAAACAAGCAGACAAUAAUCCAAUAUAUACUGAUCAAAAAACACAGUAACUAAAAAAUUUCAGAUUUCCAAAAAAUUUGGUACCAAUCAAUAAGAUUCCAGAAAAAUGAAAUUUCCUAAAAACGUUUUCCUAUCACAAUUAAACACAAUAUUCAGUUUCUUUGAAUGAUACAAUCACAAUAACAUGCUUGAAAUCAGAUUCAACAUUUAUAUCAAGCAAAGGACAACAGUGUUUAAUUGUUAAAGAUCUCGCCAAAAAUACUGUGUAAUACAGUAUCUAAAAAAUGCAGUUUCGGUUUUUGCAGAUAGGGGUCCGAAACCCUAGCUUCCAAGAAUCACUAUAUUUCACUUUUUAAAAACUGCACAAGUGAAGUAAAUGUGUUAAUACGAUAAGAGAUUAAACUGUAUCCAAAUAUACCUUACCUCACGGCCUUAUAGGCUCUGAUACCAGAUUUGUUAGGAAAUUCGUACCCCAACACCCAAAAACACAUCAAGCACAAUACAAAUAUAAAGUGCAAGAAAAUAAGAACACAAGAAUGGUCACCCAGUUCGGCCUUGAAGGCUUAAUCUGGGGGGCUCAGGUCAGCCCAAUCCACUAGUGCAAUUCUGCCUCACUAAGAGAGUGUACAGUACAUAGAACCAAGAUCAAUCAUCGACCCUAAAAUUGGAUCUCAAAUCUGGACAUAAACUCACAGCUUCCUCCCUAACCGGCUACAACUACAAAAACAAGACAGAUCACGUAUACAAGACCGUCCUCUACUUACUAUAGUAUUUACAUUUAACCAGAAUCAUCCAAAUGGAGAAACAAUCUCCAGAUUCAACAAGCCAAGAAAGGGAGAAGAAGAGUCGACCAACAGAGAGAGAAAAAAGGAGAUAUUAUCAAAACCGUAUGAAAUAAUAAUACCACCCUUCUAGCUGAUUAUCAAAACUAAGGGCCAACUCUAGUUUAAUCUCCACCAUUCAUUUAAUCCAAUGGUCCACUUCCAACCAGAAUAAACACAGAUCUGGGUCAUAUCAAAUACACGAAUCAGGAGCUGCCACGUGAUAUCUACCAACUUAAAAUAC